UCUACUCCGAGGCAUGGGGCUCUUUCUGGAGUAUUCAGUACAUUUGUAGGGGGGACAAGUUCUUUGAAUUCACGUCAAGUGGAAAGAAGGGAACCCGGGUGGUGACAUUGCCUCUGUGAAUGCUGCGUAUUCGGAUCCGAGCCUUGGCAGCCUUACGGAUUUCGCCCAUCAUCUUCCCCUGAUCUUCAGCAGCUUCGAAUUCUCCAAGAGCUUCUGUGUCUAAGGUGACGGGGAGAAGGAAAAGAAUGAGCACACGCUGGUUCUAUGUGGGAAGGUUCACCAUGGAUUCCCCAGAACAUAGGAGGGAGCAGAGCAGGGACACCCUUCCCGCAGCGACCUCCCUGACGGCCAGCGCAGGCCAUCACCUAUCUUGCACAUCUGGAAGGAAGUCUUGCACAACCGGAGUGAAGUGUGGCAAUGUGAAACUGAAGAAAUAGACGGAACAGAACUAUGCUUUGUCGGGGAAGUCAAGGCCUAGCACCCCGAGUUUGGAGGAACUGACAGGCACACAUCAGGCAUUUUAGUGAAAUCUGCUUUUAUUGAAAAUUCUUCAGCGACUGCUCAGCCCAGCAUGGCUCCUAUCAGGACAUGUGGUACCCAGACUCCUUCCUCUCUUUGUCUCUUCUCACUCACAGACGUUUAGAGAAUUCUCAUUAAAAUUACUUAGAGCGAAACAGAGAGCCCGUGUUAUAAAAUAAACCUAGUUAAAUACACUUUGUUGUAUUGCCU
rnacentral:lncRNA from 1 species